rnacentral:rRNA from 1 species
GACGAACGCUGGCGGCGUGCUUAACACAUGCAAGUCGAACGGAGCGAAUGAAAGCUUGCUUUUAUGAGCUUAGUGGCAAACGGGUGAGUAACACGUAGACAACCUGCCGACAGGAUGGGGACAACAUUCCGAAAGGAAUGCUAAUACCGAAUGAAGUGUAGGGGAGGCAUCUCCUCUACAUGAAAGAUGGCCUCUAUUUAUAAGCUAUCACCUGUCGAUGGGUCUGCGUCUGAUUAGCUAGUUGGUGAGGUAACGGCUCACCAAGGCGACGAUCAGUAGCCGGUCUGAGAGGAUGAACGGCCACAUUGGGACUGAGACACGGCCCAGACUCCUACGGGAGGCAGCAGUGGGGAAUCUUCCGCAGUGGGCGCAAGCCUGACGGAGCAACGCCGCGUGGGUGAAGAAGGUCUUCGGAUCGUAAAGCUCUGUUGACGGGGACGAACGUGCGAGAGGUGAAUAAACUCUUGCAAUGACG